GAGAGGGAGGCGGAGCUGUGUGGAGACUGUCUCCAGCCUCCCCAGGCCCUAUUUGGUGAUGAGUCAGAGAGACUUGGGCAGAGACUUCCCUCCAAGCCGCUGUCCUCCCAGGCCUGGUGCUUCCUCACCGGCCCCUUCCCUACCACCACCCCCCACCCCACCCCCACGCCCCAAGUCUAGAGUCUCUGAGGGGGUGAGGAGGCAGGCCCUGGAGCUCAGGAAAUAGGCCCACUCUCUCCGCCCUUCCCUCCAUUCACUUUUUCCUCCCUGGCCUGGCUCCUGCUCUGCUCAAAGACUUCUGGGGGAGGGGAGCAUGAAUGGAGCAGGACCUGAGGCGCCCAUGCCUUCUCCGGGGCAGUGGGGCUGGGGGAGGGGAGAAGCUUAGCAUUGAUGGUGUCCCUUCCUGAGCACAGCGAACACUCCUCACCGAACCACACACAGCUGGGAAGUACUCUUUGCAGCCUGGAUGCAGGAGCUCAGGAAGACAGCUGUCCCGACUCCCCUGCCUGCCCCUGACCUUGGAAUUUAGGCCCUUCCUUCCUUUUUUUUUUCUUCUUUUUCUGAAGACAGGGUUUCUCUGUGUAUCCCUGACUGUCCUGAAACUCACUCUGUAGGCCUCGAACGCAGAGAUCCGCCUGCCUCUGCCUCCCACCUCUGCCUCCCAAGUGCUGGGAUUAAAGACGUGCACCACCACGGCCUGGCAAAAAUUAGGCCAUUUCACGAACAGUCUAUCCUCGAGGUCUGGGGACUCGGCUUGGCCACUGGCUGUGCCUGGGACUCUUGUGUCGUACGGGAGGAUGGAUACCUACAGCUACAGCGGCCACCAAAGGACAAGAGCAAAGCCUGGGAUCAGAGGAGUGUGAUCGACCUCCCCAUGCUCCUGUCAUGGUGCCAUCCACGGCCAGUGGACCUGACCACAGGCUGAACCAACCCAGGUCCCUCCAGUCCCCAAGGCUGCAAGCUAAAUAAACCUCAUGUCUUCAUAA